rnacentral:tRNA from 1 species
GCCUGGGUGGCUCAGUCGGUUGAGCAUCUGACUUUGGCUCAGGUCAUGAUCUCACGGUUCAUGGGUUCAAACCCCACAUCGGGUU